UACAGAGGGGGCAAGCGUUGUUCGGAAUUACUGGGCGUAAAGGGCGCGUAGGUGGCCUUCUAAGUUGAAACGUGAAAUCCCUGGGCUCACCCAGGAACUGCGUCCAAGACGGAGGCUUGAAUCCGGGAGAGGGAUGCGGAAUUCCAGGUGUAGCGGUGAAAUGCGUAGAUAUCUGGAGGACACCGGUGGCGAAGGACGGCAGUCCUGGACCGGUAUUGACACUGAGGCGCGAAAGCCAGGGGAGCAAACGGGAUUUAGAAA
rnacentral:rRNA from 1 species